rnacentral:rRNA from 1 species
UGAGGAAUAUUGCACAAUGGACGAAAGUCUGAUGCAGCAACGCCGCGUGAGGGAUGAAGGUGCUCUGCAUUGUAAACCUCUGUAGUCGGGGAAAAACAAUGGGUUACUACCCAUUUGAUGGUACCCGAAAAGUAAGGAUCGGCUAACUACGUGCCAGCAGCCGCGGUAAUACGUAGGAUCCAAGCGUUGUCCGGAUUUACUGGGUGUAAAGGGUGCGCAGGCGGACUUGUAAGUCAGAGGUGAAAUCUCUCCGCUCAACGGAGAAACUGCCUUUGAGACUGCAGGUCUUGAAUCCGGGAGAGAGUUGUGGAAUUCCGAGUGUAGCAGUGAAAUGUGUAGAUAUUCGGAAGAACACCAGCGGCGAAGGCAGCAACUUGGCCCGCGAUUGACGCUCAGGCACGAAAGCAUGGGGAUCAAACAGG